GUUGGCUUAGAAGCAGCCAUCAUUUAAAGAAAGCGUAAUAGCUCACUGGUCGAGUCGGCCUGCGCGGAAGAUGUAACGGGGCUAAACUAUGCACCGAAGCUGCGGCAGCGAACGUAUCACUUAAACUGAUUAAGUGAUAUUCAAUAGUAUCAAAACGAUUGACGGAGCAACGCGACGUCAAUGCGUUCAACAAAGUCGAGGCGGAAACGUCAGACAGUCAGUUUAAGGAUACGUUCGUUGGGUAGGGGAGCGUUCUGUAAGCCUGUGAAGGUGU
rnacentral:rRNA from 1 species